AUGAUUGGAUCAUGUUUACUGCAAGACGGUUAUUCAUUUAAGUCAAAGAAUAAUUGUUGUUCUAUUUACAUGAAUAAAACCUUCUAUGGUCAUACACUCAAUAUAAAUGGUUUAUUGAAUCUCGAUCAUAGUGAUACACAUAUUCAUAAUAUUGAAGCCAAAAGAUGCAAAGUUAAUAAUGAUAGUGCAACUUAUAUGUGGCAUUGCCAUUUAGGUCAUAUUGGUGUAAAGCGCAUGAAGAAACUCCAUGCUGAUGGACUUUUGGAAUUACUUGAUUAUGAAUCACUUGAUACUUGCGAACCAUGCCUCAUGGGAAAGAUGACUAAGACUCCGUUAUUCAGAACAAUGAAGCAAGCAAUAGACUUGUUGGAAAUAAUACAUACUGAUGUGUGCGGUCCAAUGAGUGUUGAGGAUCGCGACGGGUAUCGUUAUUUUCUGACCUUCACAGAUGAUUUGAGCAUAUAUGGGUAUAUCUACUUAAUGAAACAUAAGUCUAAAACAUUUGAAAAGUUCAAAGAAUUUCAGAGUGAAGUGGAAAAUCAUCGUAACAAGAAAAUAAAGUUUCUACGAUCUGAUCGCGGAGGCGAAUAUUUGAGUUACAAGUUUGGUCUUCAUUUGAAACAAUGUGGAAUAGUUUCACAACUCACGCCACCUGGAACACCACAGCAUAAUGGUGUGUCCGAACGUUGUAAUCAUACUUUAUUGGAUAUGGUGCAAUCUAUGAUGUCUCUUACCGAUUUACCACUAUCGUUUUGGGGUUAUGCAUUAGAGACAACUGCAUUCAAGUUAAAUAGGGCACCAUCUAAAUCCGUUGAGAUGACAUCAUAUGAACUAUGGUUUGGCAAGAAACCCAAGCUGUCAUUUCUUAAAGUCUGGGUUUGCGAUGUUUAUGUGAAAAAGUUUCAAACUCAUAAGCUCGAACCCAAAUCGGAGUAG
rnacentral:rRNA from 1 species